rnacentral:lncRNA from 1 species
GCAUGGUGCUCGCUCCCACUGACCUGCGCCCACUGUCUGGCACUCCCUAGUGAGAUGAACCCGGUACCUCAGCUGGAAAUGCAGAAAUCACCCGUCUUCUGCGUCGCUCACGCUGGGAGCUGUAGACUGGAGCUGUAGACAGGAGCUGUUCCUAUUCGGGCAUCUUGGCUCCUCCUUGACAAGCUUGAAGGUGAGCACCUCGAAGGGCUUCUUUUUAUGUUGAAAGGCACGGGUUUGCAUGGCGGUUCAUCAGAGGUCAAUACCCCAGUUUGAGAAAGUCCACUGUGGGGAGGAAAGAGAGACUUAAACAAGCCCUGGAAAAACAAAGAAUGGAACACCCCUCCGCUGACUUCAACCAACUGCCUGCUGAUGCGGCCUGACUCCCAGCCCUUUUUGCAGUUUUGAAGUGACAAACUGACUAGGCUACAAAGUAUUCAACCAUGGGCUGGUUCUGGCUGGUUCACCGAGGCUGUGUACAAAGUGUCUUCAUGUCCUGUGUUUCACCUUUUAACAUACAGAACCUAAUUUUACUGCAUUUUAAUGUUAAUUCUCCACUCGAAGGCAGCCGCCACAGAGGACACCAGAUCAUGCCAACACCCCCACAACUCCUGCCCGCCUGCAGGCAGCUCUGGGCUCAGGACACCGCCUGCAAGAACCUUUAUAGCGCAGCUCUCCAAACCUUGGAGGCGAGGACAUUCUAUGUGCCCGCCCUGGAAAGGCCUGAACCUAUAACAUCUGGGCUGUGAUGGUUUCUGAGGUGGACACCAGGACCAACACUUGUCAGCAUGGCACAAUCAGGCAUUUCUCUUCUAAGUAGGAUGUGCAGCCAAAAACUCAGCUGUCUGUGAGCUGUCUUCUCCCAGGAACGAGGACAUAAGAUGUACAUCAGGUUUUGAUAUUAGAGUAAUACUGGCCUUAUAGAAUGAGUUACGAAAAGUUGCCCCUUUCUCCACUUUCUGAAAGAGUUUGUGUAACACAGGUCUGAACUGCACAGAUCCACUUACAUGUGGAUUUUCUUCCACUGCGGCCUCUCCUGAGACAGCAAGACCAACCCCUCCUUUUCAUCCUCCUCCUCCUCCUCAGCCUACUCAACAUGAAAAUGACAAGGAUGAAACCUUUAUGAUGAUCCACUCAUCCAUUUUCUUUUCUCUAGCUUAUUGUGAACAUCUUAGGCUAGUGUGUCGACUUCUGACUUGGCUCAUCUGAACCCAAGUCCUUGGACACAUUCACAAACACCCCAGGGUCUUGGGCUUCCAGUUUGUGCUAGAAGGACAAAGGGCAGGUGAAGCUUGUUUGCCGUAACUAGAAGGAGCAGAAACUGCUCCCAGCAGAACAAGAUCAAAUCAUGGGGAACAGUGGUCACCUGCCAUUUCUAGAGGAAGCUUUUGCUUUUGGUCACUGAGGACCCUAAGUCUUACAUGAGAAGAAAACAAAUAGGGUGAUGCUGCAUGCUUCUGUCCCCAAAGAAUCCCUGUGCAGGUGCCGAGGGUGCCCCAAAGACGAGGCUGUGCUUGCCGUGCCCACCACAGAAGCACAUUUGACCUGAUCAAAAGCAGGUGGAAAAGGUCCUGAAGCACAGAUAUUUUCUCAGUGAUGUUGUUUUCUCCAAAAUGAAAGAGGGAAGGUACCCUGGCUUAGGCCCCUGGUGUUCUGAUUGAAGGUGAGAAUGGAAGUAUCUUCUUCAACAUGUUCUCCCAUCUGACUGCAACAAGUGUGCUCCAGCCACCAGUGUCCCAGUUGCUCUGAAUGAUGGUGAGAAGGGUACCCAAACACUUGAAUGGUACUGUACCCUCUACUUGCCAUCUGAAUCCUCACUUGUGGAACCCAGGCACUCUGGCUGUAUUCGCGAGUAAGCAUAGGUGUGGGACUGUGUCCUGCCAUUGCACCAUCUUUAAUCUGGACUUGUGGACCUCAGGCUCUCUGACUAUUCAUGGACAGAAGUUUCUGCAGGCACAGGUGGGGUGCUGUUUCCUCCCAUUGUACACCUGAAUUCAGGACUUGUGGACCCCAGGUGUUCUGGCUGUGUUCAUGAACAGAAGUGUCCCCCCCAAACAAACCCAUAUAUGGUGCCAUCUCCUCCCAUUACAGGUAUGGUGCCAUCUCCUCCCAUUGCAGGCAUUGCACUGCCUAUACUCUGGACUUAUGGCCCUCACAUGCUCUGAUUGUAUUCAUAAACAGUAGUUUCUUCAGUCACAGAUAUGGCACCAGCCCCUCCAACAGAAACAGAUGUGCUCAAGCUGAGUGGUCCAAAGGCGUUUGACAGAAGUCAUGAACAGAAGUAUCUUGGGGCACAUGUUUCUUCUCUGUUGUGCAGGCUUCUCCAGCAGUAACAGGUUUGCCCAGGCCAUAUGGGCCCCAAGCGCUCUGACCAGACACAAGAAGAGAAGACUUGCAGUCACAGGUAGUGUGUUGUCCCCUGCUACUGCAACAUAGGUGCUUGGAAAGGUGCAACAGGGUGCUCUGCUUGUGGUGGAAACAUAAAGGCCUCCAAGCAUAGAUGUGCUGCUUUCUCCUUCCCUUUGAGGGAUGCAGAUGUGCUCUGGCCAGCUGCAUUCCAGGUGGUCUGUCUGCAAGACAGAAGUGUCCCAAGCACUGGUAUGUGCGGGCUCCUCCAACCACAACAGACGUGCUUUGGCCAGAUGGUUUCCAGGUGUUAUGAACACAAGAAGGAACAGAGGUGCCUUCUGGAACAUGUUUCUUCUCAGUGAUGUUCUAAGAGGUGUGCUUUGGCAGGACAGGCCCCAGCUGCUCUGACUGUAGGCAGGGAGGAAAGUGUUUCCCAGGAGUUUUUGCUUUCAGUAGUACUGCCCUCUCCAACUGUACCAGAGGUGCUGUAGGCUUGCAGGAACCCCGGUGCUCAUGUGUAAGCCUCCCCAACAUAAACUAAGGUGCUGCAUGCCCCUCUAGGCCCUGUUCUAAAGCUGAGUGCUUCAGAUGUGGAGCUGGGUCUGGGGCAGACACACUGGUCCUAGAGCUGUCAUUAUCCAAAGAAGCCCCAGAGUCCAUGAAUGGAAAUGGGUCGAGAGAGGGGUUAGCAAAAGGUGAACUGUGCCUGAUGCUGAGCAUCCAGUGAUGGCUCCAGAGCUAGAAGUAGUGGCUGUGCAAAUGGGAAAAGGACCCGAGGUGCCACCCAAGGCUGAGUGGGUGCUAGCAGAGAUAUCAAAGAUGGAUAUGGAGGUAACACGUACGCAAAAUCUGAUGGCAUUAUGCUCCCAUUGGGUGUCUGGGCUGCAGUAAAGGCUCAGUUUAGAGCUUGUAUUGAGAUUUUACGUUUCUCAAAGGGUAAAUGCUAUCAAAUACAUUGGGGGAUCCUGCCAGGGGGAGGCUAGAAAGAGGACAUGGUAACCAUAUUGAUUUCAUCAGAGUUAAAGGCAGACUUGGCUGCCCAGUUGGUCAAGGUCCUAGCUACUAGAAAACAGACAAUUGCUGAAGUAGUGAUAAGUAUGAUGGUGCAGACAGGUAUCCUAGAAGACUGACUCUUUGCUGCUGCCCUUUAGGAGCUCCAAAUGUGACUGAGAGGUGGCUUCUGGGCUAAAGGAAAGGUUCAAAGUGGGGUAGGGCUGUUUACCAUAAACAUAGGUGGGUUAGUGGGGACUGCCUUUUGCAGGGGGCUGUCCACUCCACACUGCAAUGAGCCAGUCAAAUGGGAGUUCCAAGACCAGAGGAAACCUAGCCCAGAGCUUGAGUCUUCCAGGCUAACCCUGGGUCCUGGGGGGACCAGGAGAUGAGACCCAGGGAAUAGUAGUGUCCAUGUCGGUCAUCUCAAAGGUUCAAAGCAGGCUGGGAGGUCAAGUCUGCAGAUGGGCUGACUGGGCAGUGGAAGUGAUAAGGUUGGCCAGUUAAUGAUGGGUUGAUAUAUUCAUCUGUUUUCACACUGCUAUGAAGAACUAUGUGGGGCUGGGUAAUUUAUAAACAAAAGAGGUUUAAUUAACUCACAGUUCCACAUGGCUGGGAGGCCACAGGAAACUUACAAUCAUGGCAGAAGGCAAAGGGGAAGCAAGGCAUGUCGUACUUGGUGGCAGGAGAGAGUGCAGAGGAAACUGCCACUUAUAAACCGUCAGAUCUCAUGAGAAUUCCCUCACUAUCAUGAGAACAGCAUGGGGGAGACCACCCCUACAAUCCAGUCACCUCCCACCAAGUCCCUCCCUCCACACAUGGGAAUUACAAUUCAGAUUACAAUUCAAAAUGAGAUUUGGGUGGGGACAUAGAGCCAAACCAUAUCAGUUAGUCAGUGAAGACUGAGGUAUCUGUAGAAGUGAGGGAGGAGCACAGUGGUCUGGAUGAACCAGUGGGGUGAUAGUCAGGGGACUGGCAUUCAGUGAGGCUGGGGGAGAAGCUUCCUAAAAGCAUUGCCCUUGAAAAGCAGGGCAUACCUAUCUGAUACUGAGGAUGUAGAAUGCAGUUUGGAGAUGCUUCCUAGCUACCUAAUCUUCCAAGGCAAACCAUGCACUCUUCAUCCUGAUAUUUGUGAUGCCUCCCUGGGCUACAUGACAGAGGGUGCACUGCAAAGGAUGUGAAGGAAAGUCACCACAGGGCAAAGGUGGAAACCCAGGGGCCUUUCCCCAGUGAGACUUUCUGGCUGUUCCUUUGGAACUUCCACCUGCUAGUUGCAGAUGUUUGCCACUGGAUGGGGCCCCAUGCUACGUGGGAACUGUUCAGGACUGUGGGUACUUAGUUCCAGCAGAGCUGGCUCCACCAGGGCACCAGGACUGCAGGCUUCUCAACUCCUGGCCUGGAGAGGCAGCUUCAGCAACCAGUGCCUGGGAAUCCACUAGCCCUUUCUCUGUGAGUCACGUGAGGGCAGAAUCUGCUCAAAGUCAGAGGGCUGGAGCAACCUGGAUUGUGCCAGAGUGAGGGCCCAGCUCACUGGAGGUCAGAGUAAGAGAGUCAAGGAUGGGAAGAAACAGGGUUUUGCUCAGUCUUGCAGAUACUGAGGCACUCAGGAGGCUCAGGAUGGCAGCAACAGGGCAUGUGCUAAACUUACCCUAGCCUCUUCCUUUUAGGCAGCCACCACAGAGGACAUCUGUUUGCCUCUGUACCCUACCCCAUCUCCAUGCUGGUAGAUAUAGUCUGGGGAUACCUUUAAAACAAACAAACAAACAAACAAAACAGGAUCUGUCUAUCACCUGUCCAAAUCCUGAAGCAAAAUGAGCCUUCUUUAUGGCCACCUUGGAAAGGCCUGAGUCCCCAGCAUCACCUGGGAUACAAAGUGUUCUGAGGUGGGGGCAGAGUGCCCUCCUGCCCAGAUGCCACACUCCACAAUAUCUCUUCCUGGCAGACAGGUUUCUCUUAACUUCCUUUGGCAAAUUUGGUUUCACUUCCUUUUGCAACUUUAGAACCUUUCUCAGGUCAGUCAUAAGGUAGUGGAGAAGCCAGGAUUUGAACCCAUUCUGUCUGAUUCCAGAGCUCAUGCAUUAACCACCUGACUGUGGUGCCUCCCCAUCAUAUGUGCAUCAAGUAUGAUCAUUUUUGUAGUUCUCAGAGUACUUAGCACCAUGCACAUCUGUAAUAAGUACAGCCACUGCCUACUGGGAGGUCUAAAGGUUCAACUCAUAAGGGACCCACAGGCCACACUGGGCUCCAGUCUCCUUAAAAGAUGUGGGACGGAGAUCAACAAUUGUCAGCAGAACCCCAUCAGGCAUUUGUCUUCUCACUGAGCCUUGCAGCAAACCACACAGCUGUCUAUAACCUAUCUGUUCCCAGAUUCAAGAACACAAGCUGCUCAUCAGUUGGGUGCAGGAUCCACUCUAGUACAAAAGCUGUGUGUCUCAAGGCAUAAUUCCUUAUGAUUACUUCAUAGCUCUGCUUUUGUCUUGAGACAAAAGAAAUUUCCUUCAAUUCCUACUUUUGCUGAGAUAUUGUUUUUUGAAAAGCAAUUAAAUCUUGUCAAUCACUUUUCCCACCUCUUUGAGAUACUUACAUGGCUUUUCUUCUUUAUUCUCUUAGUGUGGUAAAUUACAUUGAUUUAUUUUAAAUAUGAAACCAGCCUUGAAUUCCAGGAACAAACUCCAUUUGGACAUGCUAGAACAACCUUUUAUAUUUGUUUAGAUUUGAUUUCCUGAAGUGGUGUUAAAAGGUUUUCAUAUCUAUGUCUGUGAGGGAUAUUAAUCUGUACAUUUUUUUAUUACUAUUUUCUGGUGUUAUGGUAAUGCUAGUCUCAUAGAAUGAAUUAGGAAAAGUUGCCUCCUUCUGUAUUUUCUGAGAGUUUGUGUGGCACUGGUAAAAUAUUUUCUGUAUAUGUUUGACAUAAUUCACCAGGAAAAUUAUUUGUACCUACAAGUUCCCUCCUGGAAAGAUGUUGAUAAUCACUUAUUAUCCUUUCAUUGUCUGCCAGAUCUGUGGCAUUGCUUUUUUCUCUGGUAUUAGUAAUUUAAAUUUUCCCUUAUUUCUUGAUCAAUUUUGGCAGAGAUUUAUCAAUUUUAUUAAUCUCUUUUAAAAAUCUGUAUUGAGCUUUGUUAAUUUUCUCUAUUACAUACUUUUUAUUUCUACUCUUACGAUUGCUAUUUCUUUAUUUCUCCUUUGGAUUUAGCCCAUUUUUCUAUUUGUCUAAUUUUAGGAUUUAAAAUUCAAUCAUUAUUUUUAGAUAUUUUUAUUUUUAAAUAUAAACAUGAAAGUUGCAAUAUUACCUUGGGCACUGUUUUGACUGCAUUCCACAAGUUUUUAUUUGUCAUGUUUUAAUCACCAUUCAGUUCAAAAUACUUUCUAAUGCUCCUUGUUAUUUCUUCUUUGACCCAUUGGUUAUAUAAAAGUACGUUUUGCUUUAUUUCUAAAUAUGUGAAGACUUUCUAGAUAUCUCAGUUAUUUAUUACUAAUUUAAUUUUAUUGUAGCCAGAGAAAAUACACUGUAUGUGUUCAAUCUUUGGAAAUUUCUUGAGACUUAUUUUUUGACCCAGUAUGUUUGCCCUCAUGAACAUUCCAUAUUCACUAGAAAAAGAAUGUGUGUUCAAAUAAUGUUGGAUAUAGUGUUAUGCAAAUGCCACUAAAUCAAGAUAAAUCUUUUGCACUCUUGUUUUUUGCCUGCUUGUUCUAACAAUAAGUGAGAAAGAAGUGUUAAUAUCUCCAAUUGUGAUUGUAAUUUGACUGUUAUCCUUUGGUUUGGUCAGUUUUUGCCUGUUGAAAUUCUGCUAUUAAAACAUAAACAUUUAAGAUAUUUAUAUCUUCCCAAGAGAGAUGCUAAAGAAAAGUGUAAAAAACCAAAGCCAUUCUUAUGUACAUCAGAAUAUAUGGACAAAAACUUUCACAGCAACAUCAUUAUCGCAAGUAACUGAAAGCAAUACAAAGGCACAUCAACAAAAGAUUGGACAGAUAAAUUGUUCCUUCAAUGGCAAUGAAAAUGGAUGUUACAGAGAUACAUGGAUACAUGGAACACCCUGAGUGAAUCUUACAUUUAUUUUGCAGAAGAUAUCAAACCAAACAGAGCACAUAUUAUUCCAUUCAUGUAAAGGUCAGUAACAGCCACAUAUAAGCUAUAUUUUGGAGAUUCAUACACAAUAGAAAAAACUAUUUAAAAAGUCAGAUAAUACUGAUUUUAAAAAUCGGGAUGUUGAAUUCAUCUGGGUGUUGAGGGAGGAGCACAUUGUGACCCAGACAGAGCACUCAGGACUCUGAGCACACUAAUACUCUGUAUUGCCUUCAGUGGUAGUUACAUCAGUAUCAACUUAAGAAAAAUUUAUUAAAAUCUACAUAAAUAAUAAAUAAUUUUCUAUAUGUAUGUUAUAUUUCCCAAUGCUAUGAAAUGAAUUGUGUCUCCCCAAAAUGUAUGUGUUGAAGUCCUAGCCCCCAGCACCUCAGAAUGUGACCGCAUUUGGAGAUGGAACCCUUUUUUUUUAUUUUUGAGACACAGUUGCCCAGACUAGAGUGUAGUGGCGUGAUCUCGGCUCACUGACCUCUGCCUCCUGGCUCAAACAAU